rnacentral:tRNA from 2 species
GCUCUCGUCGUCUAAUGGUUAUGAUGUCAGAUUCCUAUCUAUAGGAAGCCUUUAUCUGAAGGUUCCGGGUUCGAGUCCCGGCGGGAGUA